rnacentral:lncRNA from 1 species
AUGUUCAAGAAGAGCCAGAGUAAGUAGAUUUGUAAAUAAAAAAAUUUGUUAAAAAAAUUUGUAAAAAAAAAUUGUAAUUAUUUUUACUUGUAAAUCAGCAUAUUGUAUUGAAGUUUAUUAAAAAAUUAGAAAAAAAAAGUGUGUUGCAAGUGGUAAAUACAUCUUUUGGUCAUUCCCGAUCAACGAUUUCUUAUUUCCAGCACCUCUCAAUUUUAACGCCAC